rnacentral:rRNA from 1 species
CACCGCCCGUCACGCCACGAAAGUUGGUCUUACCCGAAGUCAGUGCGCUAACCGAGGUUCGCCUUGGAAGCAGCUGCCGAAGGUAGGGCCGAUGAUUGGGACG